ACAUAUUGUUUGGCAUUAGGUGCCUGUAUGUGCACGGCAUACGGGGUAACAGGGAAUCGGGUGAAAGUCCCGAGCGGUCCCGCCACUGUAACCAGGGAGUUCUCUUUGCUAGGAAUCCACUCAUAUAUUCUAUGGGGAAGGACAAAGAGCGCAUCGAUCUGGAAGCCAGGAGACCUACCUAGCAGCCACACCCAGA
rnacentral:ncRNA from 1 species